UUCAACAUUGCUUAAGUCACACCCUUCUCAUUUGACCAAUGACAUGAUCAAGAAUGAGCCCUUGUCCUAAUAUGUAUAUAUGUGAAGUGAUUCGCAGGUGGGUGAUUGAAUAUCUCUUAGAGAGCUUUUGAAAAUGGAGAAGCAACGUAAAUCAAAGAACAAGAUCCUCAAGUUUUUAUAACCCAAACCUGCUUCUGCAGUCUCCUUCCAAUUCAGCCCUGGUAGAGAUAAACGAUCUGAGAAUCACUUCCACAGUCUCAAAGCUCAUGUCGAUAAAGGAUUUUCUGGUCCCAUUGUUUCCAUCAUCCCCGAUGAAGUUCGACGGAAACCCAAGAAUGGAAACGUCGAGUGCGAAGAACCCACCUCGCCUAAAGUGUCCUGCAUGGGCCAAAUCAAACUCAAGAAGAAGAUGGUAAUUAGCAAGGCCAAGCGGGCUUUGCCUCAAGAAACAAAGGCUGUACCGUCUCCACGUAAGAUAAACAAACAUGCGUCGACGAUUAAGAAGCUCUUUAGUAGUGCAAAACCAACUGAUAGGAGGAGAUCCAAUGCUUCUAUCUAUGAGAAGCAGCCACUUUCUGAAAGAGCACCUGCUUUGAGUCGAGAUACGUUUGCCAGCAUUGACUGGACGGAUCAUAUUUCGCCGGUGGAUUCAGAUCACCGAGGUUAUUAUUCUGAUGGAGAAGAAGAAGAAGAAGAGGUGAUUAUUCCUUUCUCAGCGCCUAUAAUAAUUGGUCCUGCAGUGGCCUUGCAGCCAAGAAAAGAGGUUAAUCUAUGGAAAAGAAGAGCCAUGAAUCCACCGCGGCCUCUUCAGUUGAAUUUAAUCAGAGCAAUUUGAAUAGAUACAAUUUUCUUUUUCUUGAUAUAUAAGAUACCAAUUAAUAUUUGGUUCUUUUAAUCGUUGUUGUUCAUCUUAGAUUGGAGAAACACAGUGAAAUUAAGCAAUAUGUUAUUAAAUAAAUACAAAGAUUGAUGUAUGUGUAUAGCCGUUAUAUAUUAGUCUGUGAAUUUCGUGAGUGUUAAGCUCGUUAAUCUAUUUAUUCAUUCUUUUUAUCUAAGUAAUGCUUUGAAACGAAGUGAUUGAUCCCACAAGCAGUUGAAGAUAAUAGUGAAAUGCCUUAAAA